rnacentral:rRNA from 1 species
GAUAAAGUCGUGCAAGAUGGAGGGGAAAUACGAGCGGGGAAAGACUUAAUCGUAAUACCUGGGCAGAAAGCGCACGCAAGCGUUAAAUGAAGUCAGAUGUGAAAGCCCCGAGCUUAACUUGGGAAUUGCAUCGGAAACUGGUUGGCUAGAGUCUUGUAGAGGGGGGGAGAAUUCCAGGUGUAGCGGUGAAAUGCGUAGAGAUGUGGAGGAAUACCGGUGGCGAAGGCGGCCCCCUGGACAAAGACUGACGCUCAGGUGCGAAAGCGUGGGGAGCAAACAGGAUUAGAUACCCGUGUAGUC